rnacentral:rRNA from 1 species
GAUGAACGCUGGCGGCGUGCCUAAUACAUGCAAGUCGAGCGAACAGACGAGGAGCUUGCUCCUUUGACGUUAGCGGCGGACGGGUGAGUAACACGUAGGUAACCUACCUAUAAGACUGGGAUAACUUCGGGAAACCGGAGCUAAUACCGGAUAAUAUUUCGAACCGCAUGGUUCGAUAGUGAAAGAUGGCUUUGCUAUCACUUAUAGAUGGACCUGCGCCGUAUUAGCUAGUUGGUAAGGUAACGGCUUACCAAGGCAACGAUACGUAGCCGACCUGAGAGGGUGAUCGGCCACACUAGAACUGAGACACGGUCCAGACUCCUACGGAGGGCAGCAGUAGGGAAUCUUCCGCAAUGGGCGAAAGCCUGACGGAGCAACGCCGCGUGAGUGAUGAAGGUCUUCGGAUCGUAAAACUCUGUUAUUAGGGAAGAACAAACGUGUAAGUAACUGUGCACGUCUUGACGGUACCUAAUCAGAAAGCCACGGCUAACUACGUG